ACGAUCCUACGGGAGGCAGCAGUAGGGAAUUUUCGUCAAUGGGCGCAAGCCUGAACGAGCAAUGCCGCGUGAGCGAGGAAGGUCUUCGGAUCGUAAAGUUCUGUUGAAGGGGAAAAAGAGCGGAGAGAGGAAAUGGUCUCCGAUUGAUAUUACCCUUCGAGGAAGUCACGGCUAACUACGUGCCAGCAGCCGCGGUAAUACGUAGGUGGCGAGCGUUAUCCGGAAUGAUUGGGCGUAAAGGGGGCGUAGGCGGCCUGCUAAGUCUGGGGGGAAAGG
rnacentral:rRNA from 1 species